ACCCUAUCAGGGUCACAUCUGGAGAGUUUCCAGUACUCUAUCAGUUUCGGCUAUGGAAGGGAGAGUCAAGCAGAGGUCUGUCCAUUCCAUUCCUAGCUUAGGCAGUGGCUAGCGAGUGGAAGGCAACCUGCUACCAAU
rnacentral:snoRNA from 2 species